rnacentral:rRNA from 1 species
GACGAACGCUGGCGGCGUGCUUAACACAUGCAAGUCGAGCGGUAAGGCCCUUUCGGGGGUACACGAGCGGCGAACGGGUGAGUAACACGUGGGUGACCUGCCCUCAGCUCUGGGAUAAGCCUGGGAAACCGGGUCUAAUACCGGAUAUGACUCCAUGACGCAUGUUGUGGGGUGGAAAGCCUUGUGCGGCUGAGGAUGGGCCCGCGGCCUAUCAGCUUGUUGGUGGGGUGAUGGCCUACCAAGGCGACGACGGGUAGCCGGCCUGAGAGGGCGACCGGCCACACUGGGACUGAGACACGGCCCAGACUCCUACGGGAGGCAGCAGUGGGGAAUCUUGCGCAAUGGGCGAAAGCCUGACGCAGCAACGCCGCGUGA